AACAUAGAUAUAAAUAGAUUGCGAACUCGUGCAAUUGGAUUUUUCUAGGUCUGUUUGAUUUCAUAUUAUUGUUAAAAAAAUAUGUUAAUAAUCGUUUUUACCUGUAUAAAAAUGAGUUUUUCUAGAUCGAAUCAGUCAACCAAAUGGUUUACCUUGUCUCACUUCCAAUGUUUACAUUCUUUUUCAUUUAAUAACUGAACACGCCUAGUUCAUGCGUAAGCCAUCUCUAGAUAUAGGGUUCAAUUAAAGUUCACAUGAAUACAGAUUCAAUGAGGUCGAAUUACUCACUUGCAAGUGAAUAAUUCAUUAGCGAUGGUUCUUUGCUUGUUUUGACAAAACUGAACCAAACUGGCUGUUAAAAGCGAAUUAUUAUAUCACUAUUUCACUUUCAGUAAUGAUAGAACAAAAAAAAUCAUAUUUUAUUUUUUUUAUAUCUCCUAGCUAAUGCCCCUUUAAUCACUUACUGCGGUAUUAUAUACAUUUAGACAAACUAAGUUUUAUACUGAUGUUGGCUAUCAUUUUGAUAAAGUGAUUUGAUUGUUUGCAUCCAUCAAGGUUACUACUGUACAUAUAUAGAAGACACUGUGCAGUAAAUAUACCUGUCAACUUGCUAGAAUUUGGUUUCUAUAGACUUUUGCCUUGAAUAUACGGAUUGAGGUUAUUAUUCCUUAUUCCAGAAACAAUUGUGCCCAGAGAUCAGUGUCAUGCAUUGAUACUGUAUUUAGGUUUGCCCAGAGAUCAGUGUCAUGCAUUGAUACUGUAUUUAGGUUUGCCCAGAGAUCAGUGUCAUGCAUUGAUACUGUAUUUGGGUUUGCCCAGAGAUCAGUGUCAUGCAUUGAUACUGUAUUUAGGUUUGCCCAGAGAUCAGUGUCAUGCAUUGAUACUGUAUUUAGGUUUGCCCAGAGAUCAGUGUCAUGCAUUGAUACUGUAUUUAGGUUUGCCCAGAGAUCAGUGUCAUGCAUUGAUACUGUAUUUAGGAUUGCCCAGAGAUCAGUGUCAUGCAUUGAUACUGUAUAUAGGCUGAAAAUGCAUUCAAAUCCAACAAUCAAUCCAUUUGUAUGUCUUGGUUUUUUUUUAAUCUAAAGCAACGAAUGAGCAGUUAAAUGGAAAAAUUAAAUUUUAUACUUUCUUUUUAUGUUAUUCAUUUACAAUCACCAUUCAUCUGAUCUUUGUCCUUGAGGUUGAUACCUGGAAAACAUAGUCAAGUCUUGCUGUUAGUGGUUUAAAAGAUUGUAUCGUAACUAUUACCUUAUAAUAGCAGUUUUCACCAGUUAUUGACGAUAGUCUUCAAUGUUUUGUAUUUUAAUCUGAUUGAGUUAAAUGGUAAUACUACAGCGAUUUAGAUGAUAUUAUAACAGAAAUUGCCAACUGUUUGUUGGCUGAUUAUUCAAAUAUUGAGUUAAUUUGUUAUGAGUACUGGUAGAAGUACAAAAGGAAAAAGAAAUUUUGCCAGCAAAACAUACAUGGUGUAUGUAUAUAUUCUCUCGAAAUAAGACUAAAUGAGGAUCAUCAUCCUUAAUGUCAAAUUAUUUGAGUUCAUGCUUUUAGAAGGAAUUUUUCUGUUGUAUUUUGUCAUGGUUGCCUAAUGCUUGCAAAGAAGACGGCUUUUAGUAAAACAGAAAUACCAUGCUUUAAAGUUUGUAAAACAAUUUAGAAAAUAGAUAGACAACAAUGUUUUUUGGAGAGGUCUGUAGGUAGCUAAUGUUUAGGCUAUACUUUUUUUUUAAUUUGCUCAAUUCCAUUCCAGUUGCUUUUCAGUGUCAGUGAAACUUUUCUGCAUGUUCUCCUGAUUAUCAAGACUUUCAUCACAUACCUCUUGGCAUAGUUGCAAUUUUUUUCUCAUCCUGGAUAUUCAUGUAAUAUUUUCCAUUUAAAUGUCAAGCAGCCAAAAUGAAACCAUCAUUUUUGUAAUAAAUAUUUCAAUUAAGAAAUAAUCAGUUAUUAGUCAGUAAAAUUAUUAUUUUUGAUUUGAAAUACUUAAAGACUAAGCUAUAUUUAUACACAAAUUAUUGCUUUUUUUGAUUUAUAUUGUAUCAGUUUAUAUGUUGAUUUUUAUAAUGUUGUUAAUUAGAUAUGUUUUUAAUAAACUUUCUAAAAUACUGCAA